UCCAAACGUCAGGCGCAGGGCGGGGAGUGGCGGCCCGGUCCGAGAGGGACACCCUUUGGUCGGAUCUGGCAAGGGCAGCGCUUUGGCCCAGGGCGCGGUGGGGCGUAGAAAAGGAAAGCGAACUCCCCCGGGGCAAGGCAAGGGCGCGGGGCAAUGCUCUCUCUGCGGGAUUCCGUCUUCCUUGCAGAUUCCGCCUCUUUCCCGCAGCCGUCAGCGCACCCCCUGUCAGCUAACAUGUGGGGGGCUGUGAAAGCGCCUGACUCGGGACUUUCCAGCCUGUCAGUGAAGAGAAACCCAUGCCAACAGGAAGGAGUUCGCCUUUGCUGGGGAAUGCAGGCAGGUUCUGGCCCCGCCAGAGAGAUUGCAGUAUUUAUUUUCUGCUUUGACCAGGGCCUGGUGAUAGACACAGAGGGACUUGAACCACCAACUCAGUUUAGGAGGAAGCCAAGAUUGAAGGUUUCCUCUCCCAGCAUGUAAAUUCCCCAUAUUCUUUAAUAUACAACUUUCCUUUAAUAAAACAAAACAAAAUCCCCCAGCAACUUAUUUUUGACAUAGCUGCCAUUCUUUUCUUGGAUUCAAUACAGCAAGUUUUGGCUGAGGCAGCUAGGAACUUAAUUAGCAACUAAUGUACCAACUUGUAGUAAACAUCAACAUUUGUCUAUGUCAUGAAGGAAAAAAAAAA